UGCGCAAGUCAUUAAUAAACGAGUUAGUAGAACUGGGAGGUCGGUAACAUACACCUAUAAGUAUUCGCGAGGAUGGGAACAUGCAUGUAGCCCAGCUAAUUUCUAGGUUAGAGUAUGAGUUAAUUACAUAAGAUGGAAGUGUUUGUCUUAUUCCUAGAAGGACGCCGCCACCUCUUUUAUCUUUGCGGUCAUAUCUGUGAAUGUUGCAGUCGUCAACACAUUCAAGUAUUUCUGUAUUAGAUAUAUCCGGAUACAACCAAGUUUCAGUUAAUUCUAGUGCGUCAGAUUUGCUAUCUUCAAGAAAGGAAGAAAGCUGGUCGCGUUUACACACAAGGCUUAGAAUGUUAGUGAACGAUAAUGACACCAGAGGGAAGGCAUGAUAGGAGUUGGACCGAUUAUGACGUUUUGAGCACGUGCUGCCCCUGAGCUAUCUAUUGGAAGGAAUAACAGAGUUAGCGAUAUCAGCUACUUAUGUCUCGUUGUCUAUGUGCCGCCUGUCAACUGUUAGUUUGAGUUGUUUUUUCUGUGUCUUCGCGAAGGCAAAGAGCUGUCUUCUCUCCUGCCGAGUACCUGGCGAAAAGGCUUCACUGAUAGCAAAUGACGAUCCUUUGAGUUUACCUGCUGACAUCGUAAUGUUUUCUUUCUCCUUAAAAAAAGGUUAUUGUUUCUAUUAUUGGCCUGCGUUUAUUGUCACUGUACCUGCCUAUGGUAUGAACGCGUUCAGAUUGGUUAUUUGUUACAGUAAUUUGAAGCCCCUCUGAGCGGAACUUAUUAUUUUUUGUUCGGAUGCGGCCCAAUCAUUGUUAGGGGCGUCAUCAUUUCCAAAAAAGAGAAGGUUAAAGCGUCGCAUCUCAUUUUCAGCGCUACCACACCUAGAUGAAAUCUUAGACAACUGGUGAGCAACACUGCACAGGUUAGUUGUGACAGCAUCGGAUGUUUGCUGUUCGGGUAUGCUGCAUGUUUCCAAAGCUGCAAUAAUGGCAUUUAGGAGCUUAAUUUCAUUCUCGGUGGCUGCACACCUCUCCUUGCUUAGUAUUAAUUCGGUGAGUAAAUUAGCCUGCCCCUCCUCAAGUUAAAACACUUUUUCCUUGGCUGUGACAAAGGCAUCUGCCUCCGCCUUGCUCAUAGGACCUGGAUUACUUUCCACAUCGCCAGAAAGCAUAAGCACAGACUAGACAAGAGCAUAAGCGCUUAGAAUAGACAAACAUCUGUUCAAUUGUUCAAAUAAUGGUGGUGGGCACGACACUGCAAUAAAACAGUAAUUACUAGACCUAAUACAAGGUGCUGCUUCCAAGUAACUAACCUGUAACAACAACGGUGCUAAGUGCGGUAUCCUUGCUGCGGUGUCGAGCCUCAAGUGGAUCGCUGCCGACUGGCGCUUUUGUACUGCUGUGGCGGUUCCAGGCGAGGCAAAGCCACGGUCAUAUUGCCCGCCCAAAAAGACGGUUUCUUGUAGAAAUGGCUCCAGGCAAUCCGUAGUUGAUUAGCCCAAGAGGCGGCGCUGGAAAGCUGCCGGCAUGAGCGAAAGGGCUGCGCAUAAGGCGGACCAGGGGAAGACGGAAAGUUGCCACAGGAAUGGAUCCGGGAGAAACCGCGCUUCACCUAAGAAGGCCAUGCUGGAGAGGCGUCAUCGGGAAACACUUGGCUGAGCUGAGAGGCCCAUAGCACAUCGCCAAAGUAACCACUUCCUGUAACAACAACGGUGUUUCAAAAUGAGCUGGGAGACACCCCAGCUGGAAUGCUAAAGGUUCACAUAGGCUGGAGGAGCGCACAUUGAGAAGGUUAUCCUGGCACAGCUUACCAUGACCUGCCAUGGUGGACCAGGAAAGUUUGCAAGGGCCUUGCUUCACUAUAUGUUCAAAGAGGAGGAGCUCAUGGGCCAUUUGGGCUUUGAAAAUAACAUCAAGGGGCAAAAGAGGCUCUUUACCCCACCAGGGUCAGCACUGUU